rnacentral:lncRNA from 1 species
GGGGGGACAAAAGAAGUGUUCUGCACUAUAAACAUUUCAACCCUAAUGCAAUCUAAUCUAAAAAAAAAAUUAUCGAGCAAGCUAGUGGUGUUGUUAAUAGGAGAUCAAGGAAUCGAGCAAACCAGUGGUGAAGUUUGAUUCUGAAACCUGAAUCUGUUAAACUUAAUUUUCUAUGCCUUUUUUAGUUUUUCUAUUAAAGAGUGAGCUACAAAAAUAGAGUGUCUAACUACUUAUGGAACGAUGAUGGUGGUGGCCGAUGGAGAAAUUGGCGAGACGACGACAGUGGUGAACACCAGUGACUAAGGAAGCAACGAGGCGACGACAGUGUCUUGAAUCUUGAUGGAAGAAUGAGCGACUGAUGAUAGAGGAAGCAGCGGGAAAAUGAUAGUGUCUUGAAUCUUGAUGGAAGAAUGAGCAACUGACGAGUACGAUUGGUAAGUGGAGGUGGUGAGCAGCACUAGAUAAUGGCGGUGGUGACUGGUGAGUGGUGAGCAGUAACCGACACUUAGGGAUUUUGUUUUUAGGAAUUGAUUUGGGAUUGGGAAUAAGGGGAGAGGAGGGUGAUUCCCUGACUAGGUG